rnacentral:snRNA from 1 species
AUCGCUCCUCGGCCUUUUGGCUAAGAUCAAGUGUAGUAUCUAAGCACUUUCAAUGUUGGGUAAAAUAUUAAUACUAAUUGUUAAAAUGAUAUGAUUGAUAUAGAAAUCCACCUUCUUUAUAAUUUUUGUAUUAGAGUAAUAUUGCAUAAGCAAAUUUCUCCCUGAACUGAAA